rnacentral:precursor_RNA from 1 species
CAAUGGUAAAGCGCUCGUCGUAGAGCCAGAGGGCCUUGGGUUCGAUCCNCCAACAGGGUCGUAAAUGCGCACUGCUGAAGAGUUUCAUACUAGGA